CUACGGGGGGCUGCAGUGAGGAAUUUUGCGCAAUGGGGGAAACCCUGACGCAGCAACGCCGCGUGAGUGAAGAAGGCCUUUGGGUCGUAAAGCUCUGUCGACAGGGAAGAAGUUACUGUACAUUAAUAGGGUAUGGUAUUGACGGUACCUGUGGAGGAAGCAUCGGCUAACUCCGUGCCAGCAGCCGCGGUAAUACGGGGGAUGCAAGCGUUAUUCGGAAUUAUUGGGCGUAAAGGGCACGCAGGCGGCCUUGUCAGUCAGAUGUGAAAGCCCGGGGCUCAACCCCGGACGUGCAUUUGAAACAGCAAGGCUUGAGUACGGUAGAGGGAAGGGGAAUUCCUGGUGUAGAGGUGAAAUUCGUAGAUAUCAGGAGGAACACCGGUGGCGAAGGCGCCUUCCUGGGCCUGUACUGACGCUGAGGUGCGAAGGCGUGGGUAGCGAACAGGAUUAGAUACCCUGGUAGUC
rnacentral:rRNA from 1 species